rnacentral:rRNA from 1 species
CAACUUUCAGCAACGGAUCUCUUGGCUCUCGCAUCGAUGAAGAACGCAGCGAAAUGCGAUAAGUAAUGUGAAUUGCAGAAUUCAGUGAAUCAUCGAAUCUUUGAACGCACCUUGCGCUCNUKGKYAUUYMGAGGAGCAUGCCUGUUUGAGUGUCAUUA